rnacentral:rRNA from 1 species
UACGGGGGGAGCAAGCGUUGUCCGGAUUUAUUGGGCGUAAAGAGCUCGUAGGUGGUUCGGUAAGUCGGAUGUGAAAUCUCCAGGCUCAACCUGGAGGGUCAUUCGAUACUGCCGUGACUAGAGGUCGGUAGGGGAGUGUGGAAUUCCUGGUGGAGCGGGUGAAAUGCGCAGAUAUCAGGAGGAACACCCGUAGCGAAGGCGGCACUCUGGGCCGAUACUGACACUGAGGAGCGAAAGCGUGGGGAGCGAACAGG